rnacentral:rRNA from 1 species
GAUGAACGCUGGCGGCGUGCCUAAUACAUGCAAGUCGAGCGAACGGACGAGAAGCUUGCUUCUCUGAUGUUAGCGGCGGACGGGUGAGUAACACGUGGAUAACCUACCUAUAAGACUGGGAUAACUUCGGGAAACCGGAGCUAAUACCGGAUGAUAUUUUGAACCGCAUGGUUCAAAAGUGAAAGACGGUCUUGCUGUCACUUAUAGAUGGAUCCGCGCUGCAUUAGCUAGUUGGUAAGGUAAUGGCUUACCAAGGCAACGAUGCAUAGCCGACCUGAGAGGGUGAUCGGCCACACUGGAACUGAGACACGGUCCAGACUCCUACGGGAGGCAGCAGUAGGGAAUCUUCCGCAAUGGGCGAAAGCCUGACGGAGCAACGCCGCGUGAGUGAUGAAGGUCUUCGGAUCGUAAAACUCUGUUAUUAGGGAAGAACAUAUGUGUAAGUAACUGUGCACAUCUUGACGGUACCUAAUCAGAAAGCCACGGCUAACCACGUG